AACGAACGCUGGCGGCAGGCUUAACACAUGCAAGUCGAACGCAUCCUUCGGGGUGAGUGGCAGACGGGUGAGUAACGCGUGGGAACGUGCCCUUCAGUUCGGGAUAACCCAGGGAAACUUGGGCUAAUACCGGAUACGUGCGAGAGCAGAAAGAUUUAUCGCUGAAGGAUCGGCCCGCGUCUGAUUAGCUAGUUGGUGGGGUAAUGGCCCACCAAGGCGACGAUCAGUAGCUGGUCUGAGAGGAUGAUCAGCCACAUUGGGACUGAGACACGGCCCAAACUCCUACGGGAGGCAGCAGUGGGGAAUAUUGGACAAUGGGCGCAAGCCUGAUCUAGCCAUGCCGCGUGAGUGAUGAAGGCCUUAGGGUUGUAAAGCUCUUUCGUCCGGGACGAUAAUGACGGUACCGGAAGAAGGAGCCCCGGCUAACUACGUGCCAGCCGCCGCCGUAA
rnacentral:rRNA from 1 species